AUGCUCACUUCAGCAGCACAUGUACUAAAAUUGGAACAAUACAGAGAUUAGCAUGGCCCCUGUGUAAGGAUGCAACAAACGUUUUUUAUUUUAAAAAAAUAAAA
ensembl:snRNA U6 U6 spliceosomal RNA